UUUUUCAUCUUUAAACGAGAUGAUCAUCUCAAAACACGAGAAUAUUAGGUUUUUACCCACAUUAACGUGGCAACGCAACAAUAAAACUCUGUGUAGUAACAAAUUGUCGGAGUUUUAUUGUUGCCAGCGGUCGUUGAUUGUUAUUGCGAACGGUUGGAUUUUUAGUUCGUGCUGUCAGAAUUUUCUCGUUUCGAGUGUUUUUCUCAGUUUCGUUUCGUUUACGUCGAUUUUAUCGAAUGGAUAAUUUCAAGGAAUUAAAGAAGUGGCGCACUUCGGCAGAUGGUGAGAAGGAAGAAGGCUCGUCGUCGUCUUCCGCUUCGUUUCCAGUGAUUCGGGUGCUCCCGAAAGAUGUCGAGGAGAGCGGAGAGUGCACCAAACGGGUGGUUGUCAUUACUCCCGACGAUAGCGCCUCGACUGUGGUCGACUACCUGGGACUGCGGUACCCGGAAGUUGCAGAAUGGACGGUGGAGUGUCGAGGGGAGUCCAAAGUGAUGGUCGAAACAUCCGUCAAGCAGAAGAAACCUUGGUGGAAAAGGCUCUUCUUCUGCUGCGUAAAAUGAAAAUUUUCUCUUCCGAGGUCACUUUUCACCGGAUAUGACUCUGCUACCCGAAUACGACUUUGUCACCCGGAAAUGACGUUUCACCCGGCUACGACUUAAUUUACUGGACUUGACAUUUCAUCCCGGAUUGGUUUUUUUUCGCUUUGAAUUGACGGACAGACAUUUCUGCACUGGUUUUGUUCAACUUCGAUUAGAUUAAAGUCCAUAGAACAACGACAGUCUGAUUAUCUGCAAUGUGACAAGCAAAACAUAAAACAAAACAUUAUGUUACCAGUUUAAAGACUCUGUUAAUCGUCUAUAAACGGACAAGGCAACUUAUACUGUACGGACAUUCAAACUGUAUUUAAACCGGUGUUCGACUGUCAUUGUAGUCAGUAUACGUUUGAACCAGAAUUAAAAUUACUUCAACAAUUAAAUUUGUUCAUCGAAUUGUCU